rnacentral:lncRNA from 1 species
AAAGAACAGGCUUUGAAGUAAGCCUAAAAGCGUUUAACUAGAAAUAGUAUUUCGAAAGUUAUUAAGCACAAAAGAUGAAUUGCGUUUAUUUUGAUACACCCUGUAUAUUAAUGAUAUGCAUUAUUUAUCUAACAAGUUGCAGUUCUUCCUUUUUUGCCGAUUAUACCAAUCUACUCUACGCAGACAAAAACUUAAAAUCCCUUGCGAAAGUCGUUAAUAGUAUUGGAACAUGUUUUUGACGGGUGAAUUGCAAAUAAACUGACCUUAAAUUUUAAGAAAUUGAAUUUUGUCCUGUUUCAUUUUCAUAAAAAAGCUUGAUUAUACCUCUAAUCUUAAAGUCUUUGAUCAUAAAUCUGCAUGGAACUCGAAUUUCUUUUGAAUCAAAGACUUUUAUUAAGUAUCUUGGUAUCUUAUUGGACAGCAUUUUGUCCUGGAAAGCACAUAUAGAUAAUAUUAGUUUAAAGUGUAUAUGACAUAAAUUUUUUUAUUUUCUUAAAUGAAAGAAGUCUUUAAACUGCGUGUAGUGUAACUUAUUUCUCAAUUUCUUGAUUUUACAGUUUGGUCCCGAGAUAUUUCAAUUUGGUUCAUAUGUAAAUGAGUGUGAACUUUCAAUUUGUUUCAUAUGUAUAUGUGUGUGAACAUGUCCGCUAAUUUAUGACGUCACAUUGUUUGCAAGCUCAACUUACACUAGUUACAAUUAAAUCUAUUAACACUAAAAACAGUAGAUAUCAGUUCACGUUUUUCUCCAGUGUUUCAUCACAUUUACCAGUGAGUGAAGUUUUGAAAUUAUCAUCUUGGAUGAUAGCAGCGAUAUUCUACCAUUUUGAAGAGCUUGCAACCAAUGUAACGUCAUAAAAUAGCGGAUAUAUUCAUACUCAUUUACAUAUCAAACAAAUUGAAAUAUCUUGGGGACAAAUCAUAAAAACAAGAAACUGAAAUUUAUAAUACACUACAGCUUAGAGAGUUCUUUCAUUCAAGAAAAUAAGAAAUUUCGUGUCACAUACGUACAGUUUAACAAUUAGUAAAAUAAAUGGCAUAUUAUGAAGAUUAAGGUAUUAUUUACCCCUUAGUCUGGGGUCAAGCAGCUCAAAAAUAUCUCAAUAAAAUUUUAGUCCUUCAGAAACGUGUCCUGAUAAUUAUAAAAUUCUCGACGAACAGAGAAUAUAUGCAAUACCAUUAUUUAUCACCUCCAAUGUUCUUCCAAUAAAACUGCUCCAUUAUAAAUGAGUCUCAAUUUUAAUGCAUGAAAUCACCAAUAAUCAUAACAUAAAAAUUCCUGAUAGAACUAACUUAUUUUAAAAGGAUGAGCUUCAUUCUUAGGGACCGUUCAUUAUUGACACCUGGGGUUGGUACCGAAGAGAUAUGGGUUGGGUAAUCAAGUUUUUGACUAGCUUAUGGGUUGGGUAAAAAAAUUGUGGCUGUUUGUCAGCUAUAAAAUUUAACCAAAAUUACCAUGCAUUGGAAAAUAUGAAGAAAAAUGUGUACAAUACAUUCUGUACCAGUGAGUUUGAGAGUGAGUGAGCUUUCAGAAUUUAGGCAACUUGAUUUCUGUCACCAUAAUCUUAUGUGUUUAAUUAUUAUGAAGUACAGUAACACAUGGGUUGGGUAAACAUUAUUUUGACCAAUGACGAAGUUGGGUAAAUAAAAAAUUUACAGUGUUUUUCGCUUCUCUUCGGUACCAACCCCAGGUAUAAAUAAUGAACGGUCCCUUAUAAUACUAGAGCAUAUCAAAAGCUGAAUAAACUUUUAUUAUCAACAUUCAAGACUAAACUAUCAGAGGGAUUCCUUUUCCCGUGUUGGUUCAAAAAUAUGGGAUAAUAUUGCUGACAAUUUACUUAAAUAAUCUAUAAGAUUAUUUAAGAAAACUUUCAUCGAAUUCUCUUGCAAGUUCUGGUCGAGGCGGGUUUUUAUGUUAAUGAUAUCUCUAAUUAAAUUCAAAUAUAUAAGUGAAUUGUGCACAUUUAUACAAUUGACUAGUUGAAUAAUCCAAGACAAUUAUUAAUAUUUGCUAUCAUGCAGCCAAUACCCGCCUAGAUUAUCUUAUGCAUGCUAUAUAUUUGCGGGUGUGUUUAUUCUUGUAAAUAUCAUAACCUAUAGUUACGAAAACUUCAUUAAAAGAGAACAUUUAUAGAUAUAUGCAAUAGCUUGGCAGCCGCAUAUAUCUGUACAUAUACAGAUGUCAUACGCCUUUGCGGCAUUAUACGCCUGUUAUAUCAACCUUGGCAGCCUUAAACAUUUGUAGUAAACAAAAACCCAGAAUUAUACUUAGAAAGUUUAAUGCAACAUAAACAUGACAUUUAUUCGACUAUAUCUGUGCGAAUAUUACUUAUCUGUAUCGACUAUAUCUGUGCGAAUAUAAUAUCUUGACGAAGGGCCUUCGCUCGAAACGUCGUGUUUCUGCUUAUUUUUUAAGGUAGUAAUAUAACCACUCAGCACAGCAUAAAUACCGAUAGGGAUAUCUUCCUAAUUUUUCUUGAAAGUAACUAUUUCGAGCCUGGAUGUACGUCUAGCAGUAAACACUAACUGACUAAACGUCUUAAACAUUUAUAGAAAUUUCUUUAAAGUCACUAUAUUUGCCUUGUCACUAUUUGUCAUCGGUCAAUGAAUUCUUUACUCUUUAGCUCGCUAAUUUGACUAUUCAGCAUGGUUCAUACCUGGAGCAAUUAUUUACUGCAAAGCCUCCGCCUUGCAUAACUACAUGUAUUUUAAUAUUGAUUAUUACAUUCGUAAUACCUGUUGUAAUACCCUGUUGUAAUUACCUUGUUGUUAUAUAUUUUUGCGUUGGGAUUUCCGAAAAAUAUAUCGUGGGUAAGGCAUCAGCACUAGCUCUGUGCAUUUCUUAUAUUAUUAUGUUGCAUUCAUGCUGUUUUCAUCCAGAAAUCAACACCACCGUAAUGGUAUUUUACUACGGGGAGAAAAAACCCAGCA